CAGUAGCCACGGUAAUACGUAGGGCGCAAGCGUUAUCCGGAAUUAUUGGGCGUAAAGAGCUCGUAGGCGGUUUGUCGCGUCUGCCGUGAAAGUCCGGGGCUCAACCCCGGAUCUGCGGUGGGUACGGGCAGACUAGAGUGAUGUAGGGGAGACUGGAAUUCCCGGUGUAGCGGUGAAAUGCGCAGAUAUCAGGAGGAACACCGAUGGCGAAGGCAGGUCUCUGGGCAUUAACUGACGCUGAGGAGCGAAAGCAUGGGGAGCGAACAGGAUUAGAUACCCCAGUAGUCCCUGUCUCUUAUAC
rnacentral:rRNA from 1 species